rnacentral:rRNA from 1 species
AUUGAACGCUGGCGGCAGGCCUAACACAUGCAAGUCGAGCGGAAACGAGUUAUCUAAACCUUCGGGGAACGAUAACGGCGUCGAGCGGCGGACGGGUGAGUAAUGCCUAGGAAAUUGCCCUGAUGUGGGGGAUAACCAUUGGAAACGAUGGCUAAUACCGCAUGAUGCCUACGGGCCAAAGAGGGGGACCUUCGGGCCUCUCGCGUCAGGAUAUGCCUAGGUGGGAUUAGCUAGUUGGUGAGGUAAGGGCUCACCAAGGCAACGAUCCCUAGCUGGUCUGAGAGGAUGAUCAGCCACACUAGAACUGAGACACGGUCCAGACUCCUACGGGAGGCAGCAGUGGGGAAUAUUGCACAAUGGGCGCAAGCCUGAUGCAGCCAUGCCGCGUGUGUGAAGAAGGCCUUCGGGUUGUAAAGCACUUUCAGUCGUGAGGAAGGUAGUGUGUUUAAUAGAUGCAUUAUUUGACGUUAGCGACAGAAGAAGCACCGGCUAACUCCGUGCCAGCAGCCGCGGUAAUACGGAGGGUGCGAGCGUUAAUCGGAAUUACUGGGCGUAAAGCGCAUGCAGGUGGUUUGUUAAGUCAGAUGUGAAAGCCCGGGGCUCAACCUCGGAAUAGCAUUUGAAACUGGCAGACUAGAGUACUGUAGAGGGGGGUAGAAUUUCAGGUGUAGCGGUGAAAUGCGUAGAGAUCUGAAGGAAUACCGGUGGCGAAGGCGGCCCCCUGGACAGAUACUGACACUCAGAUGCGAAAGCGUGGGGAGCAAACAGG